rnacentral:lncRNA from 1 species
CGAGCCCAACCAGGAGGAAGCGCCUUCCCUGCACGGCCUCCCUUGCAAGGCACUCCUGGGGGGCUGGCUUUCUGUGCUGUGCCCCCCCCCGCACCCUCGCCUCCCUGGGGGAAGGGAUGCACCUGUCGGCCUCGCUCCUGCAAGAGGCGGGCCAGGGGCAGCGCAGGUGGUCCAGCUCGGCCCGCCCUCUUCUUCCUGUCGGGCAGGAGCUGAGCCCUCGCCCUUCCUCCUCCUCCUCCUCCCUCCCUCCCUGAUUUUCGGACAGGGCUUCCCCUUCCCCCUCUCCCCGCGCUGAUUUGGGGCGCAGCGUUUCCCCGGGGUGCAGAAACGGCUCUCGGCGCUGCCCGGCUCCGCCGUGCCCCGGCUUUCCGCGCCGAGCCGAGCGCCGUCUCUCCCCGGGAAGCUCUGCGCACCAGCCCAGCGGGCAUCCCGGGCCGGGCGGGGCUCCGCGCGUGGGAAAGGAGCGGCCGCGCCGUGGCCGUCGCCGCUCGGGGCCAGGGGGACGGGCGGAGGCGGGGCGGCCACGCUUCCCGGCCGUCUCCGCCGCUCGCCGCCUGCACUCCGAGCUCCGGCCGCUGCGCAGGCAGAGAGCAAAGAUGUGCAGCGAUAUGAUCCAGAUGCUGCCGGUGAUUUUGGACCGAGGUGGCAACCUCUAUUUCCAAGGUAAUUCUCGGGAGGCUUUUCGCCCGGGGGUGGGUGGGUGGGGGGGGCUCCAACAGCCCGCCCGGCUCCCUUUCCCCCCCUCGAUCCUGCCCUGGAAUGAGGAAGCUCUGCCUGUGGGCACCGCAGUCUGCAGCCUCAAAAGAACUGCCGCUCGCAACUCUCCCCGCUGGCACCGAGGAAGGAAGGAAGCCUGCAGCUGCGGAGACAGAGAAUGGGAGGGCAGGACGAUCCUCUGCCUGAAUUUAGACAAUGAUUUCAUAUUUUCUUCCCCACCCCCCUUUCUCUCCCUCUUGCCUCCUGCUCCUGCUGCUGAAACGAAGCACAAGUUUUGGAAACAGACAGCUGGAAAACAUCAGGAAAAUGUGAACCUGCCCAAGUCUUCAGAAGUCCUAAUAAUCACGUCCUCAUAG